UCGGAUAUGGUGUAACGGCUAACAUUGCCGCCUUUCAUUGUCUAUAAUAUAGGCUUGAACGCGGCAGCUCGGGGUUCGAUUCCCCGUAUCCGAA